rnacentral:lncRNA from 1 species
GCCUAAAAACCCUAAACCCUAAACCAAACUUUUUUCUCUCUCUACCUCCAAAACGCUCUCUCUUCUCUCUAGAAUGGGAGAAAACCUCCAAAACUCCAACAAACUUGAUCCACCACCAAAACCACCGGAUUGCAGCACUCUAAGUGGUGGAAAAUCAUCACCAACAACCACCCAAACAUCUCCUAUAACACCAAUAUCAGAUUCAUCCCCCAACUCAAUAGAUCUGAGUUUGAAAAAUCAUGGCACGAAUCCCAAGGUCAUCGAAACACCCCCCUACGCAUUGAAUCAGGGUCUUGGACCAUCACCAAUGAUUCCAGAAGGGCCAAAAACCCUGGGGGUGGUAGAGAUUUCAUCCGAAUCGCCCGAAAUUGACAGAUCGGAUCCCGAGGGGCCAAAAACUGAUUUUUCAAUUAACUCUUCCACAGAGCUCAAACAGCGACACGCGCCUGACCAUAAGAUUACCCAUGAAAAGGCGAACCUUCGACUAAAAAAUCAUCCAAUUCCGAC